CCCCUGAUGGUCCAGUAGCUAAGACUGUGCGCUCCCAAUGCAGGGGGUCCAGGUUCAAUCCCUGGUCAGGGAA
rnacentral:tRNA from 1 species